UAACAAAUGGAAGGAAGCAGCCGACGCCUGAGGACAACAUGGCAAGAAGGAGCCUUUGGAUUCCGGACUGGCAUGGAAAGAGAGAUUGUGAACUCCUUGAAGGUUCGGACCGACAUGCAUCUGCCAGUACCAUGCACCUAACAUAGUGCCAAGAGCAUAGCAGACCCAAAAAGGAGGAGCUGGAAUUAAAGAGUCUUGCUCUGUCACCCAGGCCGGAGUGCAAUGGUGCGAUCUCAAGCUCACUGCAACCUCUGCACAGGUUCAAGUGGAGAAUGUGAAUCUUGAUGAUAUAGUUGGAACUCUUCAGCCAAGCCAUAUCUAACAGAACUAUCUUCAACUUUUCAGAAUUGCCAUUUUUUGAAGAUAUUGAGUGGCAAGAUGAUCAAGGAAGACGGGUGCAGUUCAGAAUCUCUAUUUUAUUUGGAGACAUCACUGUCAAGAAAAUUGCCUGCAUUUCACUGCCACCUUCAAGUGGGUGAGGGCAUAUAACAUAGUUCCUGCCAUUGGGAUUUUGAGUAUCAAAAAUAUACUUAUAAAAGAAGUAAAGAGAGUUCUCCUAUUUUUGUUUCACUGAAUGAAAAAAUCUGUUCAAUACAGGAAAUAAACUUUGAAGAUUUGGUAAAACUCACCUCUUUGGGUAAGUACUUGAUUGGCAUAGUAUUUAAUGAAUAGAUUUUUUUUUAACUGUAGAUUCAGUUCUUUUAAAGGGUAUAAAUAAAUAGA